CAGUCGCCGCGGGAAUACGGAGGAUCCAAGCGUUAUCCGGAAUCAUUGUGUUUAAAGGGUCCGUAGGCGGUCUUGUAAGUCAGUGGUGAAAGCCCAUCGCUCAACGGUGGAACGGCCAUUGAUACUGCAGGACUUGAAUUAUUGGGAAGUAACUAGAAUAUGUAGUGUAGCGGUGAAAUGCUUAGAGAUUACAUGGAAUACCAAUUGCGAAGGCAGGUUACUACCAAUUGAUUGACGCUGAUGGACGAAAGCGUGGGUAGCGAACAGGAUUAGAUACCCCUGUAGUCCCUGUCUCUUAUAA
rnacentral:rRNA from 1 species